AAUCUCAAUUUUUCUAGACCUGUAUCUAUGUCGAGACCAAUUUAGAUACUCACAGACACCUAAACGUGUCAAUAAUGCAUUGGUUCGUUUUUUUUUUUUCCUUUUUUCUCUUUCUCUCUCGAGACAAAUAAGGAACACAGUCUGCUUUGAGAAUCGAUUUAUCAAAAUCAAUUCCUAGAUUUCAUAUAAUCAAAAUCGACGAGAACAAACCAAUUGACGUUCUGAUCGGAAAUUGCAGCCGAAGACACUGUAGGAAUCGAUUUCGAAUUUUGUAAGAGUUUGAAGUCAGAAGUGAAGGCCAUUCUCAUGGGUAUCUUAGUUGAAGGUUGCAUUUAGUUUUGAGGAAUAUUGCUUCAGCCUAAGUGUGUGCUUCAGCUCAUCUGAUCGUUAAAGGUACAACUCGAGAUGGCAAGGUUAUCUUGGCACCGGUGAAGAUGCAUUCUCAAUUCUAUAUUUUUUGUGUUACGAUAUUGGAAGGAAUGGCCUGAGAAAGCUUGAAAAAUAAGAGGAGUACCACACAUAUGGUUCGAUAAGGAGUGCUAUUUCGACUUGAAGUGCUCUAUGGAUGAGAGUGAGGACAUCAUCUACUUGGAAACUUGACCAUUGGCUUUGUUUGCCAUAAGAUUUUCUUAUUAUUUUCUUAUUAUACACUUGACCAUUGGCUUUGUUGUCUAGCUGUUUAAGGAACGAGCUUUGUCUCUUACUUAAAUGCUUUGCUUCAAGCAGAAUAUAAUCUUAUGGCUGAACAAAGUGUUACUGUUUCUGGUUUCAGUUGUAGUGCAUCAUUUUGAUCCACGUUUGUGUAAUUAAGUUAUGUUGUUACGGUUC